rnacentral:lncRNA from 1 species
GGGCCAUGUGAGGGCGGAGAAGAAUGGACAGGUUUAACAUAUCAGGCCAUGUGAGGGACGGAGAGAUGGACAGGUUUAAACAUAUCAGAGGCCAUGUGAGGGACGGAGAGAUGGACAGGUUUAACAUAUCAGAGGCCAUGUGAGGGACGGAGAGAUGGACAGGUUUAAACAUAUCGAGGCACAUGUGAGGGACGGAGAGAUGGACAGGUUUAACAUAUCAGAGGCCAUGUGAGGGACGGAGAGAUGGACCAGGUUUAACAUAUCAGAGCCAUGUGAGGGACGGAGAGAUGGACAGGUUUAAACAUAUCAGAAGCCAUGUGAGG